rnacentral:rRNA from 1 species
UACGUAGGGUGCGAGCGUUAAUCGGAUUUACUGGGCGUAAAGCGAGUGUAGGUGGUUUGUUAAGUCAGGUGUGAAAUCCCAGGGCUCAACCCUGGAACUGCAUUUGAUACUGACAGACUCGAGUGUGGUAGAGGAUAGUGGAAUUCCCGGUGUAGCGGUGAAAUGCGUAGAUAUCUGGAGGAACACCGGUGGCGAAGGCGGCAUCCUGGACCAAUACUGACGCUGAGGAGCGAAAGCCAGGGGAGCAAACGGG